UCAAACUUGGUCAUUUAGAGGAAGUAAAAGUCGUAACAAGGUAUCCGUAGGUGAACCUGCGGAUGGAUCAUUACCAAUUUUUAUAUAUUAGUGUUUGCCUGCGCUUCGGUGUAGGUAAAUAACUACUAUUGUAAACGUUGAACUAGAUCAUUGGUUGUGGAUUGCUUGGGAAUGGAAGAAGCGACAAGCCUCUUCCGGACAGGCAACCCCACACCGAUAACCUUUUCAUACAUAUUACAACUAGUACAUACUACAAACAAACAACAAACAAAAGCUAUAAUAGGAUUUAUAUACGAGUCGAGUGGGUAAAAGCCUCGGCUUCAAAACAAAUAACUAUUACAACUUUCAACAAUGGAUCUCUUGGCUCUCGCAUCGAUGAAGAACGCAGC
rnacentral:misc_RNA from 1 species